rnacentral:rRNA from 1 species
GAGUUUGAUCAUGGCUCAGGAUGAACGCUGGCGGCGUGCUUAACACAUGCAAGUCGAACGAACCUUCGGGUUAGUGGCGGACGGGUGAGUAACGCGUGGGAAUCUGCCCUCAGGAGGGGGAUAACGGUUAGAAACGACCGCUAAUACCCCAUAUGCCGAGAGGUGAAAUGAAUUUCGCCUGAGGAUGAGCCCGCGUCUGAUUAGCUUGUUGGUGAGGUAAUGGCUCACCAAGGCAUCGAUCAGUAGCUGGUCUGAGAGGAUGAUCAGCCACACUGGGACUGAGACACGGCCCAGACUCCUACGGGAGGCAGCAGUGGGGAAUUUUCCGCAAUGGACGAAAGUCUGACGGAGCAACGCCGCGUGAGGGACGAAGGCCUCUGGGCUGUAAACCUCUUUUCUCAAGGAAGAAGAUAUGACGGUACUUGAGGAAUAAGCCACGGCUAAUUCCGUGCCAGCAGCCGCGGUAAUACGGGAGUGGCAAGCGUUAUCCGGAAUUAUUGGGCGUAAAGCGUCCGCAGGCGGCCUUUCAAGUCUGCUGUUAAAGCGUGGAGCUUAACUCCAUCAUGGCAGUGGAAACUGAUUGGCUUGAGUAUGGUAGGGGUAGAGGGAAUUCCCGGUGUAGCGGUGAAAUGCGUAGAUAUCGGGAAGAACACCAGUGGCGAAGGCGCUCUACUGGGCCAUUACUGACGCUCAUGGACGAAAGCCAGGGGAGCGAAAGGGAUUAGAUACCCCUGUAGUCCUGGCCGUAAACGAUGAACACUAGGUGUCGGGGGAAUCGACCCCUUCGGUGUCGUAGCUAACGCGUUAAGUGUUCCGCCUGGGGAGUACGCACGCAAGUGUGAAACUCAAAGGAAUUGACGGGGGCCCGCACAAGCGGUGGAGUAUGUGGUUUAAUUCGAUGCAACGCGAAGAACCUUACCAGGGCUUGACAUCCUGCGAACCUUUAAGAAAUUAGAGGGUGCCUUCGGGAACGCAGUGACAGGUGGUGCAUGGCUGUCGUCAGCUCGUGUCGUGAGAUGUUGGGUUAGGUCCCGCAACGAGCGCAACCCACGUUUUUAGUUGCCAGCAUUUAGUUGGGCACUCUAGAAAGACCGCCGGUGAUAAACCGGAGGAAGGUGUGGAUGACGUCAAGUCAUCAUGCCCCUUACGUCCUGGGCUACACACGUACUACAAUGCUACGGACAAAGGGCAGCAAACUCGCGAGAGCUAGCAAAUCCCAUAAACCGUGGCUCAGUUCAGAUCGUAGGCUGCAACUCGCCUACGUGAAGUAGGAAUCGCUAGUAAUCGCAGGUCAGCAUACUGCGGUGAAUACGUUCCCGGGCCUUGUACACACCGCCCGUCACACCAUGGAAGUUGGCCACGCCCGAAGUCGUUACUUUAACCCUCGUGGAGAAGGACGCCGAAGGUGGGGCUGAUGACUGGGGUGAAGUCGUAACAAGGUAACC